ensembl:lncRNA
UUUUCUUUUAUUAUUAUUAUACUUUCAGUUCUAGGGCACAUGUGCACAACAUGCAGACAUAAAGGUUCUCCAAGGCCCCACCAGACUCAGGAGCCCAGCUGGCUUCACCCAGUGGAUCCCGCACCGGGGCUGCAGGUAGAGCUGCCUGCGAGUCCCGCUCCAUGCAUCUGCACUCCUCAGCCCUUGGGUGGUCAAUGGGACUGGGUGCCGUGGAGCAGGGGGUGGUGCUCGUUGAGGAGGCUCGGGCUGCACAGGAGCCCACGCAGGGGGUGGGAGGCUCAGGCAUGGUGGGUUGCAGGUUCUGAGCCCUGCCCCACAGGAAGGCAGCUAAGGCCCAGUGAGAAAUUGAGUGCAGCGCCAGUGGGCUGGCACUGCUGGGGGACCUAGUACAGCCUCCACAGUUUCUGGCCCGGGUGCUAAGCCCAUCAUUGCCCGGGGCCGGCGCUGCUCCAAGUGUGGGGCCUGCCAAGCCCAUGCCCACCUGGAACUCCAGCUGGCCUGCAAGCGCUGUGGGCAGCCCCAGUUCCCACUCACGCCUCUCCCUCCACACCUCCCUGCAAGCUGAGGGAGUCAGCUCUGGCCUUGGCCAGCCCAGAAAGGGGCUCCUACAGUGCAGUGGUGGGCUGAAGGGCUCCUCACGUGCCACCAAAGUGGGAGCCCAGGCAGAGGAGGUGCUGAGAGUGAGCGAGGGCUGUGAGGACUGACAGCACACUGUCACCUCUCAAGCCCCCCCUCUAAAGAGGACACCCCGACUGCUGUUGGGAAUUUGGCUGAUGACUGCUCUAGCUACUUCCUGCUGGAUAGGGGUGAAGAAGGGGCCCUGCAGUUGUAGUGUCCUUCGGAGGGGAACUCUCUAGGCCAGGGGAAGUGCCAGCAGGUCGGUCCAGGGGUCCUCGGUAGAAGUUGUUAGUUGAACUCAUUUGGGGUUCUGUUUGUAAGACCAUCUGUAGCUUGAUGGCCUCGAUUCUAGAGGAAACAAAUUUGACAAGAAGGUUAAAAAUACAGGGCCUAAAGGCGAGUAACAGCAAGAUGGCUGCCAUGGGACCUAGAAAGGGGAGAAGCUAUGUUGCCCAACUCCAGAGGUUGGUAUAAGAAUUUGAAAGGCAUUGUCUGAUUUCAGAAGCCUUUUCCUGUAAAUGCUGGGUGGCAUCUCGCUGGGCGGCAUCUCGUACUAUCCCUGACUGGUUAGUGUAAAAACAACACUCUUCCCCUAAGAAGGUGCAGAGUCCUCCUUUCUUGGCAGUGAGGAGGUCUAGGCCUCGGUGGUUUUGGAGAGUCACUGCUGCCAAAGAGUCUAUUUGGGAUUGUAAAGUAAGGAUAGAUUUUGUUAUUUCUUGCAAACUGUCUGAGAGGCAGAUAUGGGUUGAAGAUCCACAUAAAUAGAAUAUGCCUUGGCUGGGUAGAUAGACAUUUACCCUGGCUUUUAAAGGAAUAGGGUACACUGUUUUUUCUUUACUACUUCCAUCUCUCUUUCUCUCCUCGACUUUCUGUCUUUCUGUCUCUCUUUCACUCUGACUCCUUUUUGUUUCUUCCUCUCUGUCUCUUUGACUUCCUGUCUCUUCCUUCCUUUCUGCUGCCUCUGCCAGCUGCUUAUGCUGCUGUUCUCCCCUCUCCUUCCCAUUUUGAUGGCUUCAUCAGUGUAAGAUUCCCACCUCUUUGUGUUUUUGCAUUGUGUGCAAUAACUCUAUAAUUUCCUUGUGGUAUUUAAUGGGGGUUUCCCCAGAGGUUAGGAACUCCCUCUUUCCAUAUUGUAACAUGGGCAUGUAGGAUUAGAUAAGCAUACUUGCUUACAUCACUAACUAUGGCGUAAAAUGCCCUAUGUGUCCCAUUCUCCACAACUGAACUUCCAUUGGUAUAUAGGUUAAGGUCAGGAUUAGUUAAGGGGACUUCUAAGAGAUCAUCUUGGGUGGCAUAAGUCUGGACUAUAAUUUGUUGGCAGUCAUGCUCGAUUGGUUCCCCAUCCUCUGGGAGAAAAGUGGCAGGGUUGAGGGCCACGCACAUGCAUGUAUGAAGCACUGGUCCCCUCAAGGAGUAGUGCCUGGUAUCUAAGUAGGCAGUUGUCUGAUAGCCAUAAACUUCCUCUGGCACCUAGUAUGCCAUUUACAUCAUGAGUAGUCCAGACAGUGAGAUGCUUUCCUUGUAUUAUUUUGAUAGCCUCUGAUGCUAAGACAGCCACUGCUGCAACUACCCUUAAACAGUGAGGCCAGCCUUUUGCUACUACAUCAAUUUCCUUACUUAGGUAUGCCACUGGUUGUGGGGUUGUCCCACGAGUCUGAGUAAGGACUCCAAGAGCUAUCCCAGCUCUCUCUGUGACGUAUAAAGAGAAGUUCUGUCCUGUGGGAAGGCUUAAAGCUGGAGCUUGUACUAGGCCUGCUUUAAGGUUUUGAAGGGUGUUUCUGCCUCUGGUUCCCAUUCUACUAGAUGAGUAUUUGCCCUCUGGGUUUCCUUGAUUGGAGUAUAGAGGGGCCUGGCUAUCUCACUGUAGCUGGGGAUCCAUAGUUGGCAAAAGCUGAUAAUUCCUA